rnacentral:rRNA from 1 species
GAUGAACGCUGGCGGCGUGCCUAAUACAUGCAAGUCGAGCGAACAGACGAGGAGCUUGCUCCUCUGACGUUAGCGGCGGACGGGUGAGUAACACGUGGAUAACCUACCUAUAAGACUGGGAUAACUUCGGGAAACCGGAGCUAAUACCGGAUAAUAUAUUGAACCGCAUGGUUCAAUAGUGAAAGACGGUUUUGCUGUCACUUAUAGAUGGAUCCGCGCCGCAUUAGCUAGUUGGUAAGGUAACGGCUUACCAAGGCAACGAUGCGUAGUCGACCUGAGAGGGGGAUCGGCCACAGUGGAACUGAGACGCGGUCCAGACUCCUACGUGAGGCAGCAGUAGGGAAUCUUCCGCAAGGGGCGAAAGCCUGACGGAGCAACGCCGCGUGAGUGAUGAAGGUCUGCGGAUCGUAAAACUCUGUUAUGAGGGAAGAACAAAUGUGUAAGUAACUAUGCGCGUCUGGACGGAACCUAAGCAGAAAGCCACGGCUAACUACUG